rnacentral:rRNA from 1 species
GACGAACGCUGGCGGCGUGCUUAACACAUGCAAGUCGAACGGAAAGGCCCUGCUUUUGUGGGGUGCUCGAGUGGCGAACGGGUGAGUAACACGUGAGUAGCCUGCCCUUGACUUUGGGAUAACUUCAGGAAACUGGGGCUAAUACCGGAUAGGAGCUCCUGCUGCAUGGUGGGGGUUGGAAAGUUUCGGCGGUUGGGGAUGGACUCGCGGCUUAUCAGCUUGUUGGUGGGGUAGUGGCUUACCAAGGCUUUGACGGGUAGCCGGCCUGAGAGGGUGACCGGCCACAUUGGGACUGAGAUACGGCCCAGACUCCUACGGGAGGCAGCAGUGGGGAAUAUUGCACAAUGGGCGGAAGCCUGAUGCAGCAACGCCGCGUGCGGGAUGACGGCCUUCGGGUUGUAAACCGCUUUCGCCUGUGACGAAGCGUGAGUGACGGUAAUGGGUAAAGAAGCACCGGCUAACUACGCG